rnacentral:rRNA from 1 species
CCUACGGGAGGCUGCAGUAGGGAAUCUUCCGCAAUGGGCGAAAGCCUGACGGAGCAACGCCGCGUGAGUGAAGAAGGAUUUCGGUUCGUAAAGCUCUGUUGUUAGGGAAGAAUGAUUGUGUAGUAACUAUACACAGUAGAGACGGUACCUAACCAGAAAGCCACGGCUAACUACGUGCCAGCAGCCGCGGUAAUACGUAGGUGGCAAGCGUUGUCCGGAAUUAUUGGGCGUAAAGCGCGCGCAGGUGGUUUAAUAAGUCUGAUGUGAAAGCCCACGGCUCAACCGUGGAGGGUCAUUGGAAACUGUUAAACUUGAGUGCAGGAGAGAAAAGUGGAAUUCCUAGUGUAGCGGUGAAAUGCGUAGAGAUUAGGAGGAACACCAGUGGCGAAGGCGGCUUUUUGGCCUGUAACUGACACUGAGGCGCGAAAGCGUGGGGAGCAAACAGGAUUAGAUACCCUGGUAGUC